AGUGUAAUGUUAAUAGAAAUACAAUGUUUAUGUAAAAGUUAUUGGUUUCUGACGGUUGUGUACACUAUCCUUCCCAAACACCAUUAUACGGAGUUUGUUGUUGUUGUUUGUAGUUUAAACAUUUUGUUCAAUUUGGAAAAUAGGUGUAGUUGAUCACAUUCAAAGAACCAAACACCUUUAAAAUAAAAUUCCCAAAUAGACUUCUAAGCUCUUAUAUAUAAGUAUUCUUUAUAGUAACUAUUCUGCUUUGUCUUAAAAUUUUAAGCAGAAAACAAGAAUGAUGAAAGUCGAGGUGAAAGAAUCAACAAUGGUGAAACCAGCAGCAGACACACCACAGACAAACCUAUGGAACUCAAACGUGGAUUUAGUUGUCCCAAAUUUCCACACCCCAAGUGUAUAUUUCUACAGGCCAUUAUCAAGUGCUUCAAAUUUCUUUGAUUCGAAUGUGCUUAAGGAGGCGUUGAGUAGAGCGUUAGUGCCGUUUUAUCCAAUGGCUGGAAGAUUAAAAAGGGAUGAAGAUUGGCGUAUUGAAAUUGAAUGCAGAGGACAAGGGGUUUUGUUUGUUGAAGCAGAGAGUGACGGAAUGGUUGAUGAUUUUGGUGAUUUUGCGCCUACUUUGGAGCUCCGGCGUCUUAUUCCUGCCGUUGAUUAUUCUCAGGGAAUCCAUUCUUAUGCUCUCCUAGUUUUGCAGAUCACUCAUUUCAAAUGUGGAGGAGUUUCUCUCGGUGUAGGAAUGCAACAUCAUGCUGCUGAUGGUUUUUCUGGUCUUCACUUCAUCAACACAUGGUCGGACAUGGCUCGUGGUUUGGACCUCACAAUUCCACCUUUCAUAGACCGAACACUUCUCCGUGCUCGUGAUCCACCCUUGCCUCAGUUCCCACACGUUGAAUACCAGCCACCUCCAACUUUCAAGAACAUUGCCAAAACUGAAGCAGUUCCUGAGACUGCUGUUUCCAUCUUCAAGUUAACCCGUGAUCAAAUCAAUGCCUUGAAAGCCAAGUCUAAGGAAGAUGGAAAUACCGUAAACUACAGCUCCUAUGAAAUGUUAGCAGGACAUGUAUGGCGCUCUACUUGUAUGGCACGAGGACUUGAAGAAGAUCAAGGAAGCAAGUUGUAUAUAGCAACCGAUGGACGUUCUAGGCUCAGGCCUACUCUUCCACCAGGCUACUUUGGUAAUGUGAUAUUUACUGCUACUCCAAUUGCAGUGGCUGGUGAUCUAAAAUCCAAGCCGAUUUGGUAUGCUGCAAGUAAAAUUCAUGAUGCAUUGGCUCGGAUGGACAACGACUACUUAAGAUCAGCCCUCGAUUACUUGGAAUUACAGCCCGACCUAAAGGCUCUUGUUCGCGGAGCACAUACUUUUAGAUGCCCAAAUCUUGGGAUCACUAGUUGGGUUAGGCUGCCUAUACACGAUGCAGAUUUUGGCUGGGGUAGACCGAUAUUUAUGGGACCUGGAUUGCUUAUGAAGGGUUAAGCUUUAUAUUGCCAAGUCCUACCAAUGAUGGGAGUCUAUCGGUUGCUAUCUCGCUGCAAGCAGACCAUAUGAAACUUUUCGAGAAAUAUUUGUAUGACAUUUGAAAGAAAUGAAUCUCUUGAGAAUGUUUGUGCUGCUUAUAUUGGGGUAAUAAUGCCAGAAAUGUAAGACAGACUUUUCCUUCCUUUUCAUUAGAGGUUAAUUUUCUAAAAUCUCUUUUUCUC